rnacentral:lncRNA from 1 species
AUGGGAGCUGCCUGUCCCGGGGAAUCAGGUCCUCGGGAGCCAAAACGGGUGCAGGUGGCACAGGGGAGGUGGGAAGAGAGGCCGAACGAGGCAGGGACACAGGACAGCAAGGAGCUACAGACGCAUGGGCAAGACCCGCUCAGCCAGCUGUCUGAGAGACAAGGGGCCAGCGCAGGGCUCGCAGGGUGCAGUCUGCAUCCGAGGUGCCAGAACAAAACCGAGGCACUUSUGGGAAGACCUGCUGGCCUGUCAGCAGAGAGACGGCGUCCACCUUGGCCCAGGCUGCCAACAGAGUUCAACCAGCUGAACUUCUGCCCAGGAAAGCAAGCCCUGGCAUGCAGCCCCAAACCCAGAGAUCCUUCAGCCCUGCAGAGCUUGGGCUGGAGGUUUCGCACAUCCCAAGCUAGCGAUACCCCCGUUCCCACACAAGCUCUGCUCGUGAGCCCAGCCUGCUGCACACACCCGCUGCAAUCGUGGUACACGCAACAGGGGCUGCAGCAAAACGCGCCUCGCGUUCCCUGCCAGGUCCAGGGGGCAGGCGCCACCGCUUCGGAUUUCAGGUCAGGCAGCACCGCACUGGAAAUGGGAGCGGCAGACGGAGCACUUUUAUCUCGUCCUAUAAAAAGUGCCCUUCGAGUCAGUGACACAAAACCCGGCCUCGACACAAGCCACCGACUCGCGUGCAGCCGGAGACACGCCAGUGCGGAAACGGGGCGGCCCGGCAGCCCCCGGAGAAGGGACAARGCCGCAGCCAGGCUGCAGGGGGGCGACUUCAGGGCAGCCCCCGCUCUGCCAGCUAAGCCCCAAAGGAUGCAAGCGCCCGGCACCCGGCGCAGCCCACCCCAGCUCCACCACCCUCCCGGAUGCCCCAAGCAGACCCGAGGCACCCGGCACGGCCCUGCUCUCCCCGGGGGGCUCCCGGAGAGCCGGGGGCUCUCUCCAUCCGUCCCCGGCAGCAGCCACCGCAGCACAUCUACCGGCUUGUACCUGCCCCUGGGGCACCGGGCCCUGCUUGCCUGCCCCACGCAUCCAGCCCCGGUGCACGGGGUCCUGCUGCCCCAUGCAACCAUCUCUCCCGUGCGGCGGGCCCCGCGCCCACCCCUGCCCCCGGUGCCCCGGGCCGCGCUUACUCCCUUUCCCCUUGCAUCGGGCCCUGCCCGUGCAUCCGCCACCAUGCACCGGUGCACCGGCCCUGCCCGCCCCCUUCCGCGGUGCACAGAGCCCUGCCCCUUCCCCGGUGCACCGGGGCCGGCCUGCCCCCUUUCCCGCUGCACCUGGCCCUGCCCCUUUCUCCGGUGCACCGUGCCCUGCCCGCCUCCUUUCCCCGGUGCACCGGGCCCGGCCUGCCCCCUUCCCCGGUGCACCGUGCCCUGCCCGCCUCCUCUCCCCGGUGCACCGGGUCCUGCCCGCCCCCUUUCCCGCUGCACCUGGCCCUGCCCCUUUCCCCGGUGCACCGGGCCCGGCCUGCCCCUUUCCCCGGUGCACCGGGCCCGGCCUGCCUCCUCUCCCCGGUGCACCGGGCCCUGCCUGCCUCCUCUCCCCGGUGCACCGGGCCCGGCCCGCCUCCUUUCCCCGGUGCACCGGGCCCUGCCUGCCCCUUUCCCCGGUGCACCGGGCCCUGCCUGCCUCCUUUUCCCACUGCACUGGCCCUGCCCGCCCCCUUUCCCCGGUGCACCGGGUUUUGCCCCCUUCCGCCGUGCACCGGGCCCUGCCCGCCCCGUGCAACCACCCCCUUGCCCGGGCUCGGGCCCCGGCGCCGCCGCUCCCGCACCUACCGGAGGCGCCGCCCCCGCCGCUCGCCCG